rnacentral:snRNA from 1 species
GAAUGUGAGGGCAAUCCGGCUGCAAUAUCUGUCACCCCAUGGAUUGCUAGGGUUGACUCAGCUGAUCUGACUGCCUAGGUGGGUGUCCCUUUUCUCCCUCACCACUCCAUGUGUAUCCCUCCAAAAGCUGUGUGCUGUGUUGAACAGGACAACCUUUUCUGCUAGAGGAGGACCAGUCUUUGGUCAAGGGUAUAUGAAUAGCAGCACUCCCCUGCUAAAGCCUCCAAACAAGCUCUCGGGAAUUCACUGGUGAAGCUAUUCGGUCCUGUGCUUUUCUUUUUUGGGAGGGUCUUUCUUA